AGAGUUUGAUCAUGGCUCAGAACGAACGCUGGCGGCAUGCCUAACACAUGCAAGUCGAACGAGACCUUCGGGUCUAGUGGCGCACGGGUGCGUAACGCGUGGGAAUCUGCCCUUAGGUUCGGAAUAACUUCGGGAAACUGAAGCUAAUACCGGAUGAUGACGUAAGUCCAAAGAUUUAUCGCCUAAGGAUGAGCCCGCGUUGGAUUAGCUAGUUGGUGAGGUAAAGGCUCACCAAGGCGACGAUCCAUAGCUGGUCUGAGAGGAUGAUCAGCCACACUGGGACUGAGACACGGCCCAGACUCCUACGGGAGGCAGCAGUGGGGAAUAUUGGACAAUGGGCGAAAGCCUGAUCCAGCAAUGCCGCGUGAGUGAUGAAGGCCUUAGGGUUGUAAAGCUCUUUUACCCGGGAUGAUAAUGACAGUACCGGGAGAAUAAGCUCCAGCUAACUCCGUG
rnacentral:rRNA from 1 species